ACGCCGAAAGAUGAGCCCGCACUUGAUUAGCUAGUUGGUAGGGUAAAAGCUUACCAAGGCAACGAUCAAUAGCUGUUCUUAGAGGAAGACCAGCCACAUUGGGACUGAGACACGGCCCAGACUCCUACGGGAGGCAGCAGUGGGGAAUCUUGCACAAUGGGGGAAACCCUGAUGCAGCGAUGCCGCGUGAGUGAAGAAGGCCCUUGGGUUGUAAAACUCUUUCGUCGGGGAAGAAAAUGACUGUACCCGAAUAAGAAGUCCGGCUAACUUCG
rnacentral:rRNA from 1 species